rnacentral:rRNA from 1 species
AGUUUGAUCAUGGCUCGGGAUGAACGCUAGCUACAGGCCUAACACAUGCAAGUCGAGGGGCAGCAGAUCGAAAGCUUGCUUUUGAUGCUGGCGACCGGCGAAUGGGUGAGUCACGCGUGUCCAACCUGCCCUGUGCCCGGGGAUAGCCCUUGGAAAUGAGGAUUAACACCCGAUAGGUGGCGCUUCCGCAUGGCGGCGCCAUGAAACCGACACAGGAUGGGGACGCGUCGGAUUAGCUUGACGGCGGGGCGACGGCCCACCGUGGCGACGAUCCGCAGGGGUUCUGAGAGGAAGGUCCCCCACACUGGCACUGAGACACGGGCCAGACUCCUACGGGAGGCAGCAGUGAGGAAUAUUGGUCAGUGGCCGAGAGGCUGAACCAGCCAAGUAGCGUGCAGGACGACGGCCCUACGGGUUGUAAACUGCUUUUGCGGGAGGAUAAAUGACACUACGUGUAGUGUUUUGCAGGUAUCCCGUGAAUAAGGACCGGCUAAUUCCGUGCCAGCCGCAGC